rnacentral:rRNA from 1 species
CCUACGUGUGGCAGCAGUGAGGAAUAUUGGGCAAUGGGCGCAAGCCUGACCCAGCAACGCCGCGUGAAGGAAGAAGGCUUUCGGGUUGUAACCUUCUUUUGUCAGGGACGAAGCAAGUGACGGUACCUGACGAAUAAGCCACGGCUAACUACGUGCCAGCAGCCGCGGUAAUACGUAGGUGGCAAGCGUUAUCCGGAUUUACUGGGUGUAAAGGGCGGGGAGGCGGGGAAGCAAGUCAGAUGUGAAAACCACGGGCGCAACCUUUGGCCUGCAUUUGAAACUGUUUUUCUUGAGUGCUGGAGAGGCAAUCGGAAUUCCGUGUGUAGCGGUGAAAUGCGUAGAUAUACGGAGGAACACCAGUGGCGAAGGCGGAUUGCUGGACAGUAACUGACGCUGAGGCGCGAAAGCGUGGGGAGCAAACAGGAUUAGAUACCCCAGUAGUC